rnacentral:rRNA from 1 species
UACGGGGGGGGCAAGCGUUGUUCGGAAUUACUGGGCGUAAAGGGCUCGUAGGUGGCCAACUAAGUCAGACGUGAAAUCCCUCGGCUUAACCGGGGAACUGCGUCUGAUACUGGAUGGCUAGAGUUUGGGAGAGGGAUGCGGAAUUCCAGGUGUAGCGGUGAAAUGCGUAGAUAUCUGGAGGAAUACCGGUGGCGAAGGCGGCAUCCUGGACCGACAUUGACGCUGAGGAGCGAAAGCUAGGGGAGCAAACGGG